GGGUGUGGCUCAGUGAUAGAGCUCUUGCCUAGCAUGCACAAGACCCUGGGUUCAAUCCUCAGCACUGCA
rnacentral:tRNA from 1 species